rnacentral:pre_miRNA from 1 species
CAUCUACUCCCUCCGUCCAACAAAAGAUGUCUCAAGUUUGUCGAAAUUUGGAUGUAUCUAGACAUGACUUAGUGUAUAGAUGCAUUCAAAUUUAGUCAAAUUUGAGACAUCCUUUGUUGGACGGAGGGAGUAAUAG